rnacentral:lncRNA from 13 species
CUCACGUUCUAAAAUCACACAGAUAAUAUGCCAGUAUAAUAUAUCAGUAACCCUGCCCUCUGUAUUUCUGUUCUGUGCAAUAACCUCAUGCUGUAUUGUCGACACAAGCUCUGAAUGUUCUGUUUAGUAUUUAGAGCAGUGGUCACUUUGCUGUGGCUCCCUCUAGGGUUCAUAGACCUCCCUGCCUCUGUGUCUGUGUCAGAAAAGUACCCCCUCCAGGAGUGUGGUGGUGCAGUUUCUGGUGCAGAGCUCCAGUUUUCUCCCUACAGUCAACAUCCUCUCUUUUCACCCCAGAGUUAGCAGUGUUUGAGACGCCCAUCGUCAACCCUAUUAACGUCUCUGGUAUCUUCAAUGUCCAGAUAGUGUUGAACGGUUCUCUGGACUAUGAGAAGGCCAGCAGGGUGAGUGUUUGUCUGGGCCUGGUCACUGCAUCAGGCUAUGUAGAGCAGACCUUCCAUAUCAGUGUGUUGGAUGAGAACACGUCGCAGUGUGAACCUCUUUUCCAGCUGCCUGGUAACACACCCUCACCUCAAUCACUACACAUACAUUAUACACAGUGUUUACAUGGCUAUCACAUGUUUAUCACAAUGUUAUUACAAGGGUAUAAGGUUCAUGUAUUGUUAAGAGGGACAUUGUAAUUUAUUGAUGGUCUGAUAAGUGUUUGUGUACAGUUGAGGUUCAUGUCCCAGAGAACCUGUUCCUGUGACUCUCUACACUGUCCUGGCCUCCGGCCCAGUCCGCAAUGACACACUCUCUGUAAUAUACACACAACUGUAUUACUGUACCAAUACAUAGUCCUAUUUGAAUGAAUGCAUUCAGUUGUGUAACUGACUAGGUAUCCGCUUUCCCUUCCCUUUAGUACAGGUUUAGACAGUGAGUGUUGAUACCUUUUCCGGUUUGUGUGUUUGUGCUGCAGUUUUCUAUCAGUCCUAACCUACUCCAAAGAACCGUUCCACAUCACUGGAGAUGGCAACAUCAUCUCUAUCAAACCCUUUAACUACCGCAGAGGGACAAGGGUGAGGGAGUGACAUGGUUUAUCUUUACGUACAAUGGCAGGUUUUAAAAGUUUGUUUUAUCAAAAUGAUUUCCUCCUCGUGUGAUGUUGUUGAACAGAAGUUGAUGCUGUCUAUGAUUGUGAGAGACAGACAAGGGGCUAACUACACUGGAACAGUCAGGAUCAAGAUCAAGACCUUGCCUUCUGAAUGCUUAUCUAUGAUUUUUUUAACCUUUAUUUAACUAGGCAAGUCAGUUAAGAACAAAUUAUUAUUUACAAUGCCAGCCUACCCCGGUCAAACCCAGAUGACGCUG